rnacentral:tRNA from 2 species
GACAGCGUGCCAGAGUGGUUAAUGGGUAUGACUCGAACGAGUCCAUCUACUAGAUAUCAUAUGGCUUCGGCCGCGCAGGUUCGAAUCCUGCCGCUGUCG